AUGCUCACUUUGACAGCACAUGUACUAAAAUUGAAAUGAUACAGAGAAGAUUAGCAUGGCCCAGCACAAGGAUGACAUGCAAAUUCAUGAAGUAUUUCACAUUUGG